ncrna:unclassified sequences abiF RNA
CCCCCUAAGCCUCUUAACAAUGCUCAAACCUGGGGGU